UACGUAGGGUGCAAGCGUUGUCCGGAAUUAUUGGGCGUAAAGAGCUCGUAGGCGGUUUGUCGCGUCGAAUGUGAAAACCCGGGGCUCAACCCCGGGCCUGCAUUCGAUACGGGCAGACUAGAGUUCGGUAGGGGAGUCUGGAAUUCCUGGUGUAGCGGUGAAAUGCGCAGAUAUCAGGAGGAACACCGGUGGCGAAGGCGGGACUCUGGGCCGAUACAGACGCUGAGGAGCGAAAGCGUGGGGAGCGAACAGG
rnacentral:rRNA from 1 species